rnacentral:lncRNA from 1 species
GCAUCCUAGCAACACCACUGAGCAUCCUAGCAACACCACUGAGCAUCCUAGCAACACCACUGAGCAGCCUAGCAACACCACUGAGCAGCCUAGCAACACCACUGAGCAGCCUAGCAACACCACUGAGCAUCCUAGCAACACCACUGAGCAUCCUAGCAACACCACUGAGCAUCCUAGCAACACCACUGAGCAGCCUAGCAACACCACUGAGCAGCCUAGUAUCAGCAGGGAGGAGAGGUCAACCACAUUAGACCCGGAAGUGUUGCCAGCUCUGAGCGUUGAGGACACCUUCUGUGGAGCGACACCCAUCUCUGACCGCUACUUGUUGACGGCCGCUUUCUGUGUCUUCGAUCCUGUCCACCCAAUCAGCACAGUAAGGCUGGGAGAACUGGACUUCUCAAAAGACAAUGAGACCAACGCUCGUCCGCGAGACUACCAAAUUGAGCAGAUUAUUGUCCAUCCUGACUACCAGUAAGUCCUAUUAUGUGUGUGUGUGU